rnacentral:tRNA from 1 species
GACUCUGUAGCUCAGUUGGUAGAGCAAUUGACUCUUAAUCAAUCGGUCGAGAGUUCGAGCCUCUCCGGGGUCA